rnacentral:rRNA from 1 species
CCCUUAGAUGUUCUGGGCCGCACGCGUGCUACACUGAGUGGAUCAGCGGGUCAGGUUGCGCGAAAGUGUUUCCUAAUCUUGAAAUCCGCUCGUGAUGGGGAUUGACGGUUGCAAUUUUCCGUCAUGAACGAGGAAUACCUUGUAAGCGCGGGUCAUCAUCCCGCGCUGAAUACGUCCCUGCCCUUUGUACACACCGCCCGUCGCUCCUACCGAUUGAGUGGUCCGGUGAGGCCUCGGGAUUGUGGCCAGUUUCCUUCAUUGGGAGUUGGCUGCGAGAACUUGUCCAAACCUUAUCAUUUAGAGGAAGGUGAAGUCGUAACA